rnacentral:lncRNA from 1 species
GCACCUGUUGCACUUGUUCUGGUACUUGAGAUCUAGGUGGAACGUUGUUUGACUUCUCCUUCUGCUUUUGAUUCUUUUCCUUUGCAUUUAUGUAGCCUGUGUUCUUCUUCUUCUUGUGUUCUAGUAUUUGUUCAUUUUGUAGAGCUACUAGUGAUCCAGCUGAAAGAAAGUUUUUUGCUUUCUCAUGAUUUCUCGAACACCCUUGUUGAUUCAUGAUUCUUAAAGUCUCUGUA